rnacentral:tRNA from 3 species
GCUGGCGUAGCUCAGUUGGUAGAGCAACUGAUUUGUAAUCAGUAGGUCGUAGGUUCAAGUCCUAUUGCCAGCUCCA